CUUCAUGGCUACUUGCUGGGCCACGACAGUUGCGUUUUUUCGCUCAGGAUUGUUUGCAGUAUCUUUUCCCCAGGGCCUCAAGGUAAGGCAUACCAGAUAUGCUUCUGUGCUUUCUCUUCCACCCUAACCCCACUCUCAUUCUGCGCACACCGAGUAAAUGAUCACAGCAGCUCCUUGAUGACCAGGCUUGCCUUACAUAAAGCUGGCUGGGUUUCUCAGAGGCCCUUCCACCGCUUCAUGUUUGACUACACUGUGCUGCCUCAGUCUCUAUUCCUGCCAGUUUACUUCUUUCUUUAAUUGUUUCUGACUAAGAGGAAUGUGGGACAACAUCCGAGGCCAGCCAGGACAGGAUGCCAAGAAAAGGAGGGGGGGUAUUAAAAGGUUAGACUACGCACUGCUUCUCUUGGGAGAAAAUUCAAGCCUAAGGGAUAAGGGGGUUUCCAUUCGGCCUCACAGCCAGAUUGCUCCAGCAAAAGAGUUUGAGUUCACUGAACUGACCGGGCCUGAUAUGGAUUUGAGCAACCAGUGCAGAGUUUUGCCACAUUCCAGGACCUCAGAACUGGGUGGCCUGGUCUGCAUAUCAUGCAAAACAUUUGCCGUUGAUGCAAAACUUUUAUUCCGAUAUUGUAUGGGAAAUGCACUUUAUGAGUUUUUAACAUUAAAAAAUGAAAUGCGUCUGCGUGCCAUUCAAUCGAGCGUGAGGCUUCUGCCUUCAGUUAAAUGCUGGAUUUGGGCCUGGGGAAAUUAAACUUUGCUGUGACCUCGGGUGAAUUGGGGGUGGCAGUAUUUGGGACUGGAAAUUCAAAGCAACCAUGUAGAGCAAGUGAACAGAAGGGGCGCGAUGUGGGUGAUCAAAGAGAAAAACUGGCUGUCAUAAACCAGUAACAAAUAUUCUGAGAAGUGAUCCUGCAGAGACUGUGUAGAGAAUAUUCACCCAAGGGAUUUCCAUUUUACCCAGUUUUUUUCUCAACUGUAUCAUCCCUUACACAGCACAGACUGAUGGUAACAGCUAAUAUGAUAUUAGUAAAAUAUGUACCAGAUUCUGUAUUUAAUGCUAGUAACCGCGAUUCAGUUUGAAUCAUGCUUAGAAAGGUAUUUCCAUGACUAGUUGCAUUAGACUGUACAUGGGGCUGUGCAUUCCAGAUGGUAGUAAUGUAAAUGGGAUAGUGCAGGCAUGUCCAAAGUCCGUUUCGGGGGCUUAAUCUGGCCCGCAGGUCGGUUUAAUCCGGCCCCUGUGGCAGUUUAUUUCCUGGCCCUCUUUGAAAAAAGUUUGGACACCACUGGGAUAGUGGAUAGAUGGCACUUGGACUCAGAUGUACAGUGUGAUGCAUAUUUGAGCACACAUCAGAUUUACAGCAUCUGAUGCACAGCAGAUGAUAACCCCGCAGAGGCCUGCUUACAUGAGCCGAUCGCCUGAUGCUGGAUGAGGGCAUUUGUUUUAGCUGGAAUUAGAUAAGCAUUAUUUGUGCAUGCCUUCAAAUAUGUGCUUCCAUUUUUCGUGGCAAUAAAGAACAAAAGAAGGCCAGAUGCGACCUGCUAGCUUCUGUUUCUUCCUCAUGUUGCCAUAACCGAAAUAAGCAUUCCGAAAACCACAAACACGGUCUGCAAAGAGCAGAGGACGGGACAUUGUGCAGAGGAGCUAUUAACAAGAUAGGUGGUCCAAAGAGUAUAAACAAGUACAAAUCAUGCUAGGUCACGCAUAGCGAAGAGCAUCUGGAACUUGGAAAUGUUAGCUCUUUCUCUUUCCUAACAUUUUUAGACAAGUUUCUCCAAAGAGUCUCACGCACCUGCCAGUCAUUUGGCCGGACUUUGAUUACUGCUAACAGUGAGUAGGAACAGAAUAGCCUGUGUUUCAUCUCUCACCAGAAAACCACUAGGCUCUAGGGGGAGAGAGAAACAUGUGGGGAGGGAUCCAGCAAGAGUAUGUUAUAGGUACACAGCUAAAGGGCUUUCAUAGAUUUCUGUUUUGGCAGCAGCCCUUCCUCUCCUACCCUUCAAUUCACAAAGAGAGAGAGGAGUCAAAAUGAAUUUGGAGGUUGGGAAGAAUGGCUGUGGAAUAAAUGAUGGGCCACAUCCAACUAAGUCACUGCAGGAGCAGAACAGAACUUAUGCAAUGAAGCUGCCCCCCCCAUGCCCCCACGCCCCCAAAUCUGCUCUGUGUUUCUUCCGCACAUCCCUCUGGAGUUUUGUAUAAAGUAGGGAUGUGCAGGGAGAGGAGAUGGAGAGGAAGUUCUGUUGCACCAUGACUUUGUUGGAUUCAACCCUUUAUAUAUUUACUUACCUAUAUACUACCUUCUACAUAACAACCUGAGGCAUAGCACAACAAAAAUAAAACAAGAAGUUGUUGUUGUUAUUUAGUCGUGUCCGACUCUUCGUGACCCCAUGGACCAGAGCAUGCCAGGCACUUCUGUCUUCCACUGCCUUCCGCAGUUUGGUCAAACUCAUGCUGGUAGCUUCGAGAACACUGUCCAACCAUCUCGUCCUCUGUCGUCCCCUUCUCCUUGUGCCCUCCAUCUUUCCCAACAUCAGGGUCUUUUCCAGGGAGUCUUCUCUGCUCAUGAGGUGGCCAAAGUAUUGGAGUCUCAGCUUCAGGACCUGGCCUUCCAGUGAGCACUCAGGGCUGAUUUCCUUAAGAAUGGAUCGGUUUGAUCUUCUUGCAGUCCAUGGGACUCUCAAGUCUCCUCCAGCACCAUAAUUCAAAAGCAUCAAUUCUUCGGCAAUCAGCCUUCUUUAUGGUCCAGCUCUCACUUCCAUACAUUACUAUUGGUAACGUACAAGAAGUUAACACAGUUUAAAACAUCUAAACAGCAGUAACAACACAAGGAAUAGUGACAAUGCAAAUCCUGAGGUGUCCAUAGCAGUUCCACCCAUGUGUGGCAUAUAUACUUAAUAUGGGUCUUCCAUCUGAUAUUUGAUAUAAACUGGUAUCUAUAUGCCACAGACAACAAAUACUGCAACUACUGGACGCUAUGUCUAUUCUCCUCCUACCCUUGAUUUUUUAAAACUGUUCAUCCAGUAUGAAAGAGUAAUGGCUGAAAUGUAAAAUACAUGGUUUAAUGUUCAAGUGGACUCAUGUGCAGUCAGUGAAAUACACACAGAGAGAGAGAGAGAGAGAGAGAGAGAGAGAGAGAGAGAGACUAAGGUUUACUCAACUAUUUGAGAGAUUUGGAAUUGUGGGGUUUUGUUUUUGUUUUGUUUUUUAAAAAAUCAGUUUGUGGUUUUUUAAAAUUACGAUUCUUUUCUGUUACAAAUUAUCAAAGAACAGUAAAACAAACAAAGCUAUCCUUCCCUCGCCCUCCCCAGGAAAUGAAAUUACUAGAUUACCGUGAAGCCAAGAACCAUUAGAAAAACACAAUUCCAGUUACUUAUCCAAAUGAAUAAACAAAUUAUAGAAUUACACUAGCCAGAAAAUUUUGUAGCGUGAGGAAAGUUCCACUGCAUCUUCUUUAGCUUUAUACAAAAUAAAGGUGUAGCAAUCCAUUGUAAAUGUGUCCUUUUGUAUCAAACCCAUUGCAAGAUUUAAUUGGUUAGUAAUUUUUCUACCCAAGUUAACUGCCAUGCUUUCUUUCACCAUGUGGCAAUGGAUGCUGCUACCAGAAAUUUCCAAUAUCUUGCUCCCAAUAGUAACUGACCAAUAAGAUGUCUGAAAUACAGGUUUGUGUUAUCUCCCAAGAAGAGGUUGAGUAAAGCCAGUUCCGAGGCUUUAAUGGUGUUUUGUCUUGUUGUGGCACUUGUUAUUGUUGUUGUUUAGUCAUUUAGUCGUGUCCGACUCUUCGUGACCCCAUGGACCAGAGCACGCCAGGCACUCCUGUCUUCCACUGCCUCCUGCAGUUUGGUCAAACUCAUGCUGCUAGCUUCGAGAACACUGUCCAACCAUCUCAUCCUCUGUCGUCCCCUUCUCCUUGUGCCCUCCAUCUUUCCCAACAUCAGGGUCUUUCCCAGGGAGUCUUCUCUUCUCAUGAGGUGGCCAAAGUAUUGGAGCCUCAGCUUCACGAUGUGUCCUUCCAGUGAGCACUCAGGGCUGAUUUCCUUAAGAAUGGAUAGGUUUGAUCUUCUUGCAGCUGUGGCACACAUUUCCCCAAAUACUGACUCCUAGAAUGUGACCACUUUUUGCAGUUCCCUCAAAGGUGUUGGUGUGACCCUAAGGAUGCACCCCCCCCCCAACAAGUUUGGAACUGAUACCGGCUACUCUGGCUGGUGCUAAGUGCCACUAUUGCAGAAUUUUAAAAGCAAUUUCCUUGGUACAGUAUAUUAUUAUAUCAACUCAUUAAAACUAUGUAACUUCUCAACAUUAUUUACAAAUUCAACCUGGCUGUGGGUUUUUUGCACCCACAAGCAGACUUUGAAGAAACUGACAAACACUUUUUCCGUGGGAACCAGGAACUACUAUGAUUUUUUGCUAGCACACAAAUAACAAAAAAUAUUGUAGGUGCGCAAAAGGAUUAUUUCCUCCAAGUUCUCCAUUCUCCAAAUAUCUAAAAGAGGCUCUACUGUGCCUCAAGACUAGCUGUUAGAUAUGCGCUCUGAAACUUAGAAAAUUGAACAUUGAGUUUCACAUAGUCCUGCAGAGUUCAAAUGAGCUACUGUAUGGCAGGGGUGGCCCCAGGACCACAUUCCUUCUGGACAACCUUCUGAGGGACACAUGACAGUGAAGCAAAAGUGGGUGGAACAAUUCAUGUAAAUGUAACCUUUGUAUAGUACACUACUUUCUAGACACACACACACACAGAGGACACAGGUGGCGCUGUGGUCUAUUACACACACACACACACACACACACACACACACACACACCUUUCUUUAUUCUUUACUCAAGUCAUUAACAGGGUUCAAGGACACAUUCCAUCCUGGCAAAAACACUCAGGGUAAGGUAAAGGACCCCUGGACAGUUAAGUCUAGUCAAAGGCAACUAUGGGGUGCAGCACUCAUCUCACUUUCAGGCUGAGGGAGCUGGCGUUUGUCCGCACACAGCUUUCCUGCUCAUGUAGCCAACAUGACUAAACUGCUUCUAGUGCAAUGGAACACUGGGACGGAAACCAGAGUGCACAGAAAUGCUGUUUAGCUUCCCACCGCAGCGGUACCUAUUUAUCUACUCACACUGGCAUGCUUUCCAGCUGCUAGGCUAGCAGAAGCUGGGACGGAGCAACGGGAGCUCACCCCAUCACACGGAUUCAAACUGCCGACCUUCUGAUCGGCAAGCCCAAGAGGCUCCAUGGUUUAGACCACAGCGCCGUCCGCAUCCCUCUACUCAGGGUACAAUGUAAUGUCAGUGAAAGGUGUGGCCUGGGAAGAGUUCAAAGGACCAGGCAGAGAGGCCUGGAGGGCCUCAUUCGGCGCUGGGCCUGAGGCUCCCUUCCCUUGCCCUAGAAAAACGGGUCCCUCCCAAAGAGAUAGCAGACCUCCAGCCUUCUGUUCUUCUGAUGCACACCACAGAAUAAGUUGAAAAUAGGCACCAGAAAAGUGAGAACAUGCAUGUACUUUCUUUGCUUGCCCCAUCAGGUUGUGCAUUUGCUUUGUGUAGGACAGAGACUCUCGCUCAGAUUAUAGAGCAGCAGCAGUGACAUAAUCAGCAUGCUAUCUGCAGAUGUUGCUGGCUUUUCUGAAGAAUAUUUUCCUUUGACCACAUCUGUAAAAAUCUUUCUCAAAAAGCAUGAAGUCACCCUCCUCGUUCAGUCACUGGAGCACAUCAUAUAUCCCAAACCAAUCUUCUAUGAUAACAUGCUCUAAAUUUAAACCUGAAGCUCAGGAAUUAAAUGGAGAGGCUUUUAUUAUUGGUCUCCAUACUGUGUAAUCUGGGUUCCACUGAGUACAAAGAAAUAUGAGCAGAUAGCAGAGGCAGAUGCACUAGAGGAAAGGGGCUUUUUAAAACUAAGCAGCUUUGUGUUGAAGCAGGGCCCUUUUGCUUUCAACUUUAAUAAAGGACUUGGGCUUGUAAUGAUUUCCAUCUGGGGACACUUCUGCUUUGGAAAAGGCAGUCAAGGAUCUCCAUCUCCAACUUAGUGAGCUGUAGGAUCAGCAGAGUCCCUCUCAUCAAUGAAAUGCUAGACCAGCUAUAUAAAAGUUUAUCGAUGUUCUGUCCACUAAAGGGUGUCACCCGGAAGAACCAAAAAGAGCUUGGCUGUUGGAUCAGGUCAAAGACCCACCUAGUCUAGCAUCCUGCUCCCACAUGGCCAACCAGAUGUCCAUGGGAUGCCCACAAGCAGCACCUGACUGCCACAGUGCUCUCCUCUCCCCAGUCACAAUUUCCAACAACUGGUUUUCAAAGGCAUACUGCCUCUGAGGGAGAACACAGCCCUCAUAGCUGGUAGCCAUCAACAGCCUAGUCCAGGCAUAGACAAACUUGGCCUUCCAGGUGUUUUGGGACCUCAACUCCCAUCAUCCCUAGCUAACAGGACCAGUGGUCAGGGAUGAUGGGAGUUGUAGUCCCAAAACAUCUGGAGGGCCGAGUUUGCCUGUGUCUGGCCUAGUCCUCUAAUGAUUUGUCAAUUCGUAGCCAGUACUAUGAGAGGGUGUUUGUACUCACAGCUGCAGCUCCUGUCAAGUGUCAGGAGUUAACAUGGGUGCUCUAACAGCCCUAUUCAGACAUUCAGUCUGGUCAUGGGAGUGAUAAAGGUGUGCAGGGGGGCAACUCUGAGCAUGAUGGCCCUGCCCUCGAUGCCUUCUGCAUGCUGGACAUGUCCUCACACACACACACACACACACACACACACACACACACACAUAUCUUUGGGUGUGUAGCACUAAGAUCUGAAGAUGGCUUCUGGACAUGUUCAGCUGUUUCUAGAUCAAACGGAGCCUUCUAACCACAACCAGCUGGACGUGGUUAACUGCCCUCUUCAGACCUUUGUGCUAAAUUCUCAGAUUUUGUUGGAGGAGAUGGAGCCAGCCCUCCCUAUGCACCCUUAGCCCAUCAGUCCAUCUCAUCACCAGGCUAAGUGCCUGAAGAGGUUAUGUAUUAUUUGCAUAUAUUUUCUAAAUUAUGGGUAGGUUACUGUAAAAGUCAUCAGAAGAUGCACCAUCCAUUGGUCUUAAUUGCAGCUGGCAUCCUUUAACCCAAAGGGAGAGUUUUCCACAUGUAAUGCCACAUGCUAUGAACUUGGCUCCAAGCAGAUUUAGAAUAAUUUCAGCUAUGCGGGCUUCCACGUGACAUAUUUCUUCCUCUGCCAACAAUGCCUUAACAAAACUGACAAGGGAUGGAAAGAAUUAAGAAAGCAAGAGAAGCCAUUCAUGUGUGCUGAUUGUCUGCUUGCCCAUCUCUACCACUUUCAUUCUUUUAAGGGUGUUUCAUUUUCUGCUCUCCUUAUAAUUCUCACUUAUCAUGUUUAUUUUCAUAAGAUAUAUAAGGCCAGGGCUGUCAUUUUUCUAAAAGGACCAUUUGAAAAUAUUUUACAUUAUUUUAAAAUGUUGCUUCCCUUAUGCAGGAAGCUAGGGUCAUCUUCUCUUUAACAAAGACAAUGUAGUAUACAGUAUAUCCUUUUCUUACCCCUUUCUGUAACUGGAAAGGAAGGCGAACGAUAUCUAGAGAACCCUGCUGGAUCACCCCAGAGGUCCUUCUCAUUCACGGCUCUCACGGUUACCUAUAAGAAGCCCAUAAGCAGGACAUAAGAGCAAAAGCCUUCUCCUUGGGAUUAGUUCCUUCAUUUAUAGUUAGCUGUAAUAUGAAAGGGAAAUUUUAUAAGGUCGUCUAGCAAUGAUACCGGCUAGCAAGCAAAGGUCACAACCGCCAGCACACUUACAUCCAUGCAACAUCCUUUGGACCACAACAUUUGCAUUCAUAAUGGUGAGAAAUGUGUUUUCUUCUUAAUUUUAUUUGUUUAUUAUUUAUUGAAUUUCUAUACCGCCCUAUACCCGCAGGUCUCAAGGCAGUUCACAGAAAAAAAUCAAAAUCUAAAACCACAAAAUAUGUAACCAAAAGAAAAGCAACAACAACCCAAUAACCCCUCCCUUUUCAGUGAAAUGUUUCUUGGUGCAGUCUCCUGUGUUAUGCAGUCAUGUUUUCUGAAAACCCACCUUUUCUGUAAAACCUUUGGCACAACGCCCUAGUUCCCAUGCCCUGAUGCAACUCAGCCUGACAGGGCCAGUGUCAAUAUCUGGCCGGGUGAGGCAAAUGCCAGGGACCAACACCAGCUUUUUAUUUUGAGGGGAGGUGAUGUUCUUAUGACCUGACACUGCAAAGAUCUGCAGUGGACUAGGUAGCUGUGCAGCCUCCGCCACCAUUAUCCCCAAUGAUAAUUGUCUGCCCUUCCCAAGUACACUAAAACCAUUUUGUAUUGCUCCCUGUGGAGCAGCAUGGCUGGUGCUGCAUUGCUCAACUGGUUUCAGAACACUGCAGCUCACUGCUUCUUACUAUGAAGUCAGCAGGGAGGUCAUCACAGUGCAGGUGCAGCAGCAAGAAUGUCAGAUUUGAUUGGCUCUGCUGCUGCACCCACACUGGCUGCUCUCUCCAACCACUGGCUGCUUUCUUGUCGUAAGCAGCAGUGGUGCAGGGUGUUCAGAAGCAGGAGAGCAAGAGUCUCACCCCCAAGCCAGCCAUUCCUCCCUUCCUUUUUUAAAAAAAUAUUUUUUAUUGAUUUUAACAUAUAAAUUAUAAAAUGUACCACAAAACUUAUCACUUAUACAAUCUUUUUAGACUUCCAUCAGCACCUCUGAUGACCCACCAUUUUAACCACUUCUUAUGCAUUUCUUAACUUUAUAUUGCCUUUACAUCUCUUAACAAAUCAUCCUUCCCCUUCUCCAUUUUUGCAAUACUUCCAAUAAUACUCCUCACAAAAUUUCUUGCAGAGCUACAAACGUCGUCUGAUCUUCACAAAUACUUUUCAAAUAGCCCAUAAAUUUACUUCAGUCUUCCGUGAAUUUCUGGUCCCGCCGGUGUUGAAUCCUUCCUGUUAGUUUAUCGCCAUUCCUCCCUUCCAGGGGUGUCUUACCCAUAUAGACCAGUGGCGCAGGGCACCAGGGCACCAGGGAAGAGGCAGAGGCUGGACGCAGCACCUCCUGGCAUCAGCUUGCUGCCCUCGCCCGCCUCCGCCAUGCUGCACCGAAGCAGCACUGCGCCGCGCCCAGAGCCUUUGUCUGCCGUGGCCACCCCCAUCUCUCCUCCCAACACACCCCAAAAUUGGGUCGGGAGAGGAGGGGUCAGGAGAACCUCCAGAACAGCAUGCAAGGAGAGGAGAGUGGGGGGACAAACUGAAAUGCUUGUACAAAUGGAAUGACUGGAAGAGCACAUCAUUUAAUUCCACCUGAUAUAUGUUGCAAUUUUUUUGCAAAGGUUAGUUGGAUCUGUGCUGUCAGUUCCACUGAGCAAGCAGUGAGAAAUAUGUUGUGCUAUUUUUCUAGAAAAAGUGAUGCUAAAAUUCACCAUAGAGACCUCCCUCAUUUUCUAAGAAUGGCAGUGGCACCUGUCUGAGAGGUGCCAGAACUGAGUUCUGGUGAGUUCUGGCUGAACAAAGUCCUGAUGUUGAGGCAUUAUAAGCUAAUCAAUGUGGACACACACCAGUCACAUAAUGUAUCAGCCAGGAUGCAAUCUUAAAACUGCAAUCUUACAUGCACUUACUCUGGCCAUACUAAGCUCAGCAGGACUUCCAAGCAAACCUGCAUAGGAUUAAGCUGCAUAGUAAAGUUUCAGUGAAGUGAAUAGGACUCUCCCCUGCGUCCAAUUAUAUACUCAAGGCAUUUGCAGCAGUAAGUCUUUAUGAGACUGCUACAAUAUUUCAAGUCAUUAAAAUGAAAUGUUUCCAAGGGUAUCAGGGCAACUGAAAGGCACAUUUUGUUUUGAAACACUAAUGUUGCAAAACGUUAGGCCCAUCCCAAGUUGUUCCUAGUUAUAAAUGAGGGUAUUACUUAGAAAGGCGGGGCUGGGGACCUGGGGAAACCUGGUUGUGAUAAAGAAACAUUUUCUUACACUGAUAAAUCACUAUUUUUGCAUUAGCUAAUACUUGGAAAGUAGUUUUAGAGUUCAGCCAUCAGUGUAGUUUAAUGUUACUGCAAUAGAUUUAAGAAUCAAUUACCUGUCACGAGGUCAGAAAAACUUGUAGCCCUGCAGCUGGGAUGUUUAGGACAGUGAAUACAGCUUGUGAGCCAGCUGUGCACAUAACAUUGUUUAGAUGUCCACCUAAGGGUUUUUGGGCGCAGGUGAAAAUGUAAAAUGUGAAUGUGAUCAAACAAACAGGGACAUUAUACAGUAUCAAACAGUGACGCUUAUCAGAAAAUCAUGCUGGGCAGCUCCAAGCUGAGUGUACUUUGAAAUCAUAGCAACUCCUGUACUUCAAAAAUAAAUGGAUUAUAUAUAUACUGCUUUGAAGCAGUAGAAAACACUGAUUCUCAUAAAAAAGGGAUACUCCCUUGCCUACUGCAGCCCUUUGUGCCUUGUCCCAUACAGUUCUGGAGGAACCAACCCAUAGAAGCAACUUUGAAGAGGGUGGCAUGGUGGGUAAGGGGGAAAUCAAUGACACACUGCAAAGCCAGUGUGUGUAUGGACAAAUACUUUGAACCAAAAGAAAAAAAUAUUGGGCUAGUCUUGUAACAGAAGCGUUGUGUAGCCAUCUUAGUUGGACUAUAGAUUGAGGGUGAUCCCCCCCCAUGUGGAUAUCUCUCACAUCAGUAUAUUAUGAUGGGGAAAGUGUUGGAUUUCAUAUGGAACAUACAUUAAAACACAUGAGGCCAGCUCAGAGCCGAUAGCUGGGUGCUGUGAGAAAUAGCCUUCUGCUCAUGUGCUCCUCAUUUCUCUUCUUCUUCCCCUUGUAUACUCAGUUUGUUACUUCCUCUGCUGUUGUUAUGUCUGAAGCUAUGCCAGUCCUACAAACCAGGACUGCUAACUAGCUUUGCAUGGCUUGCAAUCAUACUUUGGAGGAAAAUUACAAGCCUAGGUUGCUGCUAUGGAGGCAAUGGAAAAAUUGUGCUUUGUACUAAAUCAGAAGUAGCUAGAAGUAUGCCAAAGGAGGGGGCUGAGAGAAUGUGUGAUCGCAACAUUUGCUCCCAUAAUGCAGCCUUUGCCUGCCAGGUGCCUUCCAGAUGUUUUGUACUCCGACUUCCAUCAGCCAGCAUGGGCGUUGUGGUUCAAAAUAUCUGUAAGGUGCUAGGUUGGUGAAGGCUGCCAUAGCGCUGAAGCCUGGCUUGGCAAUGCAGCUGAACUGAGCCACAGCCACUUUGAGGUGGCCAAUCCCAGUUUCCACAUACCAGCUGUAAAUCUGGAUUAAAUGAGAAGACAGGCUGGCAUUUUGAUUGCAAUAACAUCAUGCGGACACUGCGGGGGGGGGGACCUGUGUGCAUGAGAAUAAACACCCAUCUGGAAGCAUUCUCAAUAUUGUAAGGUUCAACACUGAUUUAAACUCCUUACCCAAAGUAGUAAAAUAUUAACAAGCAAGUCUUUAUUAUAUUGUUGCAAUCCACUGCCCAUCUCUGAGCAGUGAGAGAAUCCAGAGGUUCCCGUGUCCUUGGAAUGAGCUCAACGGAGACUGUGAUGUCCUUAGGAUAUAUGGCUUUAUUUACACUUAUAUACAAACUGUGCAAGUGAGAGUUUCCAAGGCAUGCUCUGGUUCAUGGGGUCACGGAGAGUCGAAAACGACUAAGACAACUAAACAACAACAACAAACUGUGCAUAGGAUGGAGGGGCUCAUAGCAUUAACACCUCACCAGAUCUUGCUUCCUCACUCUGUUGCCAGCAAGCCCCAAAUUCCAGCACAAAGCAGCACAGAACUAACCAUAUCUCUCCAUCCUCAGCUUCACAGUGUCUCCUCCUCUCCUCCAUUUACACAGCAAUACUUUCCAGCCCCGCCUGUUGCUUCUUUGUCACCUAGAUGCUACAAACUGAAACCCAACCUACCCCCUUCCGAGUGAGGCAGAGCACUAAAAGGGACCAUCUGGUCUUCAUCUACAAAGGAACCUGCUUGGCCAAUUCCUUAACCUCCCCCAAACUCAUAAUACGAUCAAAGAACUUCAAGACAUUUUCCACAUAUGUAUGUAUUACAAAAAAUAGAAUUAGUUUUUUAUGUAUUACAAAAAAUAGAAUUAGUUUUGUGGAAAGUUCUUUACUUUCUGAUGACAUGGAACAUCAGGAAGGGUGUGUCCACCAUCCCAAAAUACACCGUCCAACCAGUUUUGGUAGAGGCUAUUGGAGUGUGGUUUUAAUUUAGCUGGCUGUUUAUACCACUGCUGAGCCCAGCUCACCUGGAGUCAAUUGUCACCAUUUCAAAACACAACAAAAUGGAAGAAAUGUGUACUAAAACACCCUUCCCCUGUAAAGGCUGUAACCAUGGUACAGAAUGGCCCAAGUUAAAACUCCAGCUGUGUAAACUGUUUUAAUUCUGGACGAAACUUAAUUAUAGCAAGAGCCGAAAUCUGAUCCUCUGCCCUUCACCAUAUAUAUUCCUCCUUUUUAAAGGUUUAGAUUCCCUGAUUCUGAUUUCUUGAACUGGGCAGGUCUGCAAUAUAAAUAGAUUAAAGGCUUUCUAAAAAGAGGGGGUGGGUUGCAUUUUGCUAUCGUGCGAAGACGCACAGAGGCGCACACAGUACAUUUUAUGUUUUCUAUCCCGACUCUGUGCUUUCCCUGGUCAAUUCUGUAAGCCAGCGAAUUACCUGUUCCAUCGUGGAAGGUUCUCUCUCCAGGGCUUUUCUAAUGCUGAAUCUAUAAACCCUGAAAUAUCCCUUUCCAAAUCUCUUUCCCAGGAGUAAACAUUUGUAUAUCAGCCCAAGACCAAGAUGACAUAAUGUGACUGGACGGAUUUCAAGGACUUCCACUUUGAAAUUACUGCAUGGAUCUGUGUGCCUGAAGCACCGUUGCAGAAAGACAGCAAUCCAUUUCCCCACCUGGAAUAUGAACAGA
rnacentral:lncRNA from 1 species